UGGUCUCCUGGAAGAUUCAGAUGAAUUGGCUAGGUGGUUCCUCUUCUUGUUUUGUUUUGUAAAUAUGUUGUGUAUCUUGUCUCUUAGAGUUGUGUUCUGAUAAGAGAGAAAAGAAAAGAGACAAGAUGAAAAAAAAUUGAGAAAAAUGAGAAAAAAAUUUGUGAAUAAUGGAGUCAAGAAGAGGAUUGAAUUAGAGGUUUUGGGUGUGAUUUGAAUGUGUUUACACUUGUUCCCCAUUGCUCCUCUAUUUCUUUUGGUUUGUAGCUUCUUAUCCAUAUUUAUCCUCCCUUUUUCCUUGACCCCAUUGCAUCCAUAAAAGACCUUUUGAUUU
rnacentral:lncRNA from 1 species